rnacentral:rRNA from 1 species
UGCCAGCAGCCGCGGUAAUACAGAGGGUGCGAGCGUUAAUCGGAAUUACUGGGCGUAAAGCGCGCGUAGGCGGUUUAUUAAGUCAAAUGUGAAAGCCCCGGGCUCAACCUGGGAACUGCAUCUGAUACUGAUAGACUAGAGUUUAGGAGAGGGAAGUAGAAUUUCAGGUGUAGCGGUGAAAUGCAUAGAGAUCUGAAGGAAUACCAGUGGCGAAGGCGACUUCCUGGCCUAGAACUGACGCUGAGGUGCGAAAGCGUGGGUAGCAAACGGGAUUAGAUA